rnacentral:rRNA from 1 species
CAGCCGCCGCGGGAAUACGUAGGUGGCAAGCGUUGUCCGGAACUAUUGGGCGUAAAGGGCUCGCAGGCGGUUUCUUAAGUCUGAUGUGAAAGCCCCCGGCUCAACCGGGGAGGGUCAUUGGAAACUGGGAAACUUGAGUGCAGAAGAGGAGAGUGGAAUUCCACGUGUAGCGGUGAAAUGCGUAGAGAUGUGGAGGAACACCAGUGGCGAAGGCGACUCUCUGGUCUGUAACUGACGCUGAGGAGCGAAAGCGUGGGGAGCGAACAGGAUUAGAUACCCCAGUAGUCCCUGUCUCUUAUAC